rnacentral:rRNA from 1 species
AUACGUAGGUGACGAGCGUUAUCCGGAUUUACUGGGCGUAAAGGGCGUGUAGGCGGUCUUGCAAGUCAGAAGUGAAAUUCCUGAGCUCAACUCGGGCGCUGCUUCUGAAACUGCAGGACUUGAGUGCUGGAGGGGAUAGCGGAAUUCCUAGUGGAGCGGUAAAAUGCGCAGAUAUUAGGAAGAACACCGGUGGCGAAGGCGGCAAUCGGGGCAUUAACUGGCGCUGAGUCGUGAAAGCGUGGGGAGCAAACAUGAUUGAAUCCCCUGGUAUUCCACGCCGUAAACGGUGAAUACUAGGUGUAGUGGGUAUCGACUCCCUCUGUGCCGCAGUUAACACAAAAAGUAUUCCGCCUGGGGAGUACGGCCGCAAGGUUGAAACUUAAAGGAAUUGACGGGG